rnacentral:rRNA from 1 species
CCCUUAGAUGUUCUGGGCUGCACGCGCGCUACACUGACACACUCAGCGAGUCUCCUGGUCCGAGAGGAUUGGGUAAUCAUGUGAGCGUGUGUCGUGAUGGGGAUAGAAUAUUGUAAUUAUUACUCUUCAACGAGGAAUUCCUAGUAAGCGCGAGUCAGCAGCUCGCGCUGAUUACGUCCCCGCCCUUUGUACACACCGCCCGUCGCUCCUACCAAUGGGUGAUCCGGUGAAUGACUCGGACUCUGGAAUUAGCUAUUUAUAGCUUUUAUCCGGAGGAAGUUUUGUGAACCUUAUCACUUGGAGGAAGGAGAAGUCGUAACA